UUUAGAAACCUACAGACAUAUGACAGAUGCUGUCAUUGUAUGCAUGUACAUAUCCUGUGAAAGAUCAGCCAGUCAAAGCUUUCUGCACACUGGCAUCUUUGUGAAACUCCCAGACAAGCUUUCUUUAAACAAACCUCCCUGAGUUUCCUAGCAACA